GUGGUUUUAGUUUUAAAUAAAAACAUUUGCUUUGCAAGCAAGAGCUCUAAGUUAAAAUCCUAGAAACUACA
rnacentral:tRNA from 1 species